AUUCUGAUCCAGUACAUGGAAAUUUCUCUUCAAGAACCGUUCGGGUAGCAGCUCCGAUCCGCGUUUGGAUCGAUGGCCAGCAUGUGUGGCUUCACCCACGAAUUUGUCGCAUUGCUUUUUGUUUCAACCGCCCUGGGCCGCGCUGCAAUACAUGACCCUUGGGUUUAUCGUUGCCUACACAGACAGGGAGCUGCGUCCUAAAACAAGGUUGUGCUCGACAAUUCCUAACUUUUACAUCUUGCACGCGUUUUUUCCACAAUGUAGCCUCGAUCGCGUAAGAACAAUAUUUGUAACACUCUAAAUUCAUUAAAUAAAAAAACCUAGUUUGAUUUAUUAGUUUCCAACAGAAAGAAAAAAUAUUUAUAUUUACAAAUUAUGAAAUGCUGACAUAAUUAAAUUGAACAAAUUUUUAAAUAGAUAAAAUUUUACAACGUGUUUUAUGCGUUCAGAGACAUACAUUUUGUUUGAUGUAUCCAAUAUUUAGAUUUAAUUCAGAGAGAAAAACUCAUCUUUAAAAUAACAAUGGUUGUUAAAAUAAAUGUUUUUGGAAUAUGCAUUUCCAUAUGUUACUAAUUUCGUUCAUAAGUGUUUGCAAGAAUUUCAUUUUGAUUUUAUUUCCCUUGUGUGAAGAUCUUUUAUUUAAAACAAUAGAAUUUCCUUUCAAACAUUAUAAACUCGACAUCUAUAAGUUGUUACGUAGAAUCCAUUGCGACUAAAUAACUAAUUCAGAACGAACGCGAUAUGUAGAAGCACUAAUCGACAUCCCCUCAAACAUAAAUUAAAAUACUUUGAAUUAGCACAAUUACAUUAACAAAUAUUUUCAAAGUGUAUGACUAAGAUUGCA
rnacentral:lncRNA from 7 species